UGCAGUCGACGCUGAAGCCUGGUGCUUGCACCGGGUGGAUGAGUGGCGAACGGGUGAGUAACACGUGAGUAACCUGCCCCCGACUUCGGGAUAAGCCCGGGAAACUGGGUCUAAUACCGGAUAUGAGCGUUCCUCGCAUGAGGGAUGCUGGAAAGUCUUUUCGGUUGGGGAUGGGCUCGCGGCCUAUCAGUUUGUUGGUGAGGUAAUGGCUCACCAAGACGACGACGGGUAGCCGGCCUGAGAGGGCGACCGGCCACACUGGGACUGAGACACGGCCCAGACUCCUACGGGAGGCAGCAGUGGGGAAUAUUGCACAAUGGGGGAAACCCUGAUGCAGCGACGCAGCGUGCGGGAUGACGGCCUUCGGGUUGUAAACCGCUUUCAGCAGGGAAGAAGCCUUUCGGGGUGACGGUACCUGCAGAAGAAGUACCGGCUAACUACGUGCCAGCAGCCGCGGUAAUACGUAGGGUACAAGCGUUGUCCGGAAUUAUUGGGCGUAAAGAGCUCGUAGGUGGUUGGUCACGUCUGCUGUGGAAACGCAACGCUUAACGUUGCGCGUGCAGUGGGUACGGGCUGACUAGAGUGCAGUAGGGGAGUCUGGAAUUCCUGGUGUAGCGGUGAAAUGCGCAGAUAUCAGGAGGAACACCGGUGGCGAAGGCGGGACUCUGGGCUGUAACUGACACUGAGGAGCGAAAGCAUGGGGAGCGAACAGGAUUAGAUACCCUGGUAGUCCAUGCCGUAAACGUUGGGCACUAGGUGUGGGGGACAUUCCACGUUCUCCGCGCCGUAGCUAACGCAUUAAGUGCCCCGCCUGGGGAGUACGGUCGCAAGGCUAAAACUCAAAGGAAUUGACGGGGGCCCGCACAAGCGGCGGAGCAUGCGGAUUAAUUCGAUGCAACGCGAAGAACCUUACCAAGGCUUGACAUACACCAGACCGGUCUGGAAACAGUCCUUCCCCUUUGGGGUUGGUGUACAGGUGGUGCAUGGUUGUCGUCAGCUCGUGUC
rnacentral:rRNA from 1 species